AGCAGCCGCGGUAAUUCCAGCUCCAAUAGCGUAUAUUAAAGUUGUUGCAGUUAAAAAGCUCGUAGUUGAAUUUCGGGAUCAGUACGUUGGUCGUGCCUCGGUAUGUACUGGUGUUACUGAUUCCUCCCUUCUGACGAACCGUCAUGCCAUUUACUUGGUGUGGCGGGAAAUCAGGACUGUUACUUUGAAAAAUUAGAGUGUUUAAAGCAGGCUCGCGCUUGAAUACAUUAGCAUGGAAUAAUGAAAUAGGACGUUAAUCCUAUUUUGUUGGUUUCUAGGAUCGACGUAAUGAUUAAUAGGGAUAGUUGGGGGCAUUAGUAUUCAAUUGUCAGAGGUGAAAUUCUUGGAUUUAUUGAAGACUAACUACUGCGAAAGCAUUUGCCAAGGAUGUUUUCAUUAAUCAAGAACGAAAGUUAGGGGAUCGAAGACGAUCAGAUACCGUCGUAGUCUUAACCAUAAACUAUGCCGACUGGGGAUCGGAUGAUGUUAAUUUUUAAUGACUCAUUCGGCGCCUUACGGG
rnacentral:rRNA from 1 species